AAAUUGAAGAGUUUGAUCAUGGCUCAGAUUGAACGCUGGCGGCAGGCCUAACACAUGCAAGUCGAACGGUAACAGGAAGCAGCUUGCUGCUUUGCUGACGAGUGGCGGACGGGUGAGUAAUGUCUGGGAAACUGCCUGAUGGAGGGGGAUAACUACUGGAAACGGUGGCUAAUACCGCAUAACGUCGCAAGACCAAAGAGGGGGACCUUCGGGCCUCUUGCCAUCAGAUGUGCCCAGAUGGGAUUAGCUUGUUGGUGAGGUAACGGCUCACCAAG
rnacentral:rRNA from 1 species